UCAAAAUGAUGUAAAUUUUCUAUAAUUGAUAUCUGUGAUAGAACACAAAUUAUCGAGCUUUUUAACACUGAACCAA
rnacentral:snoRNA from 1 species